CGUUGUCCGGAAUCAUUGGGCGUAAAGAGCGUGUAGGCGGCUCGGUAAGUCCGCUCUGAAAGCCCGGGGCUCAACCCCGGGAGGCGGGCGGAUACUGUCGGGCUAGAGUGCGGAAGAGGCGAGUGGAAUUCCUGGUGUAGCGGUGAAAUGCGCAGAUAUCAGGAGGAACACCAAUUGCGAAGGCAGCUCGCUGGGACGUAACUGACGCUGAGACGCGAAAGCGUGGGGAGCAAACAGG
rnacentral:rRNA from 1 species